rnacentral:rRNA from 1 species
UCGGGAAUUUUGGGCAAUGGGCGAAAGCCUGACCCAGCAACGCCGCGUGAAGGAUGAAGUAUUUCGGUAUGUAAACUUCGUAAGAAUAGGAAGAAUAAAUGACGGUACUAUUUGUAAGGUCCGGCUAACUACGUGCCAGCAGCCGCGGUAAUACGUAGGGACCAAGCGUUGUUCGGAUUUACUGGGCGUAAAGGGCGCGUAGGCGGUGUGUCAAGUCAGUUGUGAAAUCUCCGAGCUUAACUCGGAACGGUCAACUGAUACUGUCACACUAGAGUACAGAAGGGGCAAUCGGAAUUCUUGGUGUAGCGGUGAAAUGCGUAGAUAUCAAGAGGAACACCUGAGGUGAAGACGGGUUGCUGGGCUGACACUGACGCUGAGGCGCGAAAGCCAGGGGAGCAAACGGGAUUAGAUACCCCCGUAGUCCCUGAGCGGGCUGGCAAG